rnacentral:rRNA from 1 species
GACGUAGGAGACGAGCGUUGUCCGGAUUUACUGGGCGUAAAGGGCGCGCAGGCGGUCAUGCGCGUCGGGCGUGAAAGCCCCCGGCUCAACCGGGGCGGGUCGUCCGAGACGGCAUGACUGGAGGGCGGCAGAGGCUGGUGGAAUUCCCGGUGUAGUGGUGAAAUGCGUAGAGAUCGGGAGGAACACCCGUGGCGAAGGCGGCCAGCUGGGCCGACCCUGACGCUGAGGCGCGAAGGCGCGGGGAGCGAACGGG